rfam:Musca domestica strain aabys unplaced genomic scaffold Scaffold18608, whole genome shotgun sequence.
AUAUAGGCCUUAUUAAAGACCAUCAAAAUUUAAAACUAUGUUAUAU